rnacentral:rRNA from 1 species
UACAGAGGGUGCAAGCGUUGUUCGGAAUUAUUGGGCGUAAAGGGCGCGUAGGCGGUGCGGUAAGUCACCUGUGAAACCUCUGGGCUUAACUCAGAGCCUGCAGGCGAAACUGCCGUGCUUGAGUGUGGGAGAGGUGCGUGGAAUUCCCGGUGUAGCGGUGAAAUGCGUAGAUAUCGGAAGGAACACCAGUGGCGAAAGCGGCUUCCUGGUCCAGCACCGACGUUCAGGCACGAAAGCGUGGGGAGCAAACAGG